AUGACUGAAACACAUCAAGUCCAAGACAACGAGACUCUUGUUAGCCUGUGGGAGAAGCGAAUGUACUGGGUGCCGGCCUACUUCAUGCAGUGCUUCUUCCCCUUUCUGCAGACUACGCAGCGCAGCGAGGGGUUCAAUGCUGUUUUGAAGCGGUACGUCAGCCCUGGCAACUCAUUGCUACAGUUUGCCAAGCAGUACAUAGCUUUGCAACAAAAAAUUCUGGGAUCUGAGCUACAGCAAGACUCGACCACGUCACUAAAGCAGCCAAAAUUGCUAACGUAUUUACCGAUAGAGAGGCAAAUGAGCAAGAUAUACACCAACAAGAUCUUUAACAAAUUUCAGGAAGAAAUAAAGCGUGCCAGCAUGUUCACGGCUUUCCAGGUGGACGAACAUACGUUCAAGGUGUGUUCUAUUUUGGGCAUGUCAGAUUCAGAACCUGAAGACCCGGACAAAGGAAGGAACUACUUCGUCAAAGCCUCGAUAGGCGAAGGCGAGUACUACUGCCAAUGCUACAAGUUCGAACGGGACGGCAUUGUGUGCUGUCACAUACUAAAAGUAAUGGACAUGAACGCUGUGACACGGAUGCCCCGCCAUUUCAUAAGGUGGCGAUGGACUUGGGACGCUGACGACGCGUUGGCGCCGCAGACAACACACGCAGUUCUGGCUGUGCAUGACGAGAGACCUGAGUCAACCAUGGAAGCCGUGAGGCACGUUGUGCUGACAAAGAACUAUGCUGAGCUAAUUGAUGACGCGUGCAAGAGUGAUGAGACAGCGAGAGUCGCAGAAAAACACAAGAAGGCACUGAAAAGAGAGCUUGAUGAGAUCAAGAAGAGGAAAGCUGAGGAAGCCUUACACCGGUUCCCCCGCACACCAAGUGUGCCUUCAUCCACGGGGCCAUCAUCUGAAAACUCGGAGAUAGGAUUUGAAACAGCAAGCACACAGACCCAGGUCAGGAACCCACCCCGUUCCAUCACAAAGGGUCGUCCAAGAGAGAUAAGGUACAAGUCGGGAUUGGAGAUCCAAGCAAAACACAAGAAAACGAAGAAAGGGGCGGGCAAUCCAUGA
rnacentral:rRNA from 1 species